ACGGUCUUAAUAUCAUAAGAUUUCAUGUCAUAUAAUAUUUUGCAUUUAACUAUUUCUUAAAGAAGAAAUCUUACAAAUUGAUAAUUACAAAAUUCAUGCGUCGAGUUGUUUUUUUUUUUUUUUGGUGGUCGAAGUUUCAAUUCAUUGCAAUCCCUCCAAAAGGGUAGAGAACAGUAAAAACAAAGCCAGGCAAAAACACAUGCCAUAAA
rnacentral:lncRNA from 1 species